rnacentral:lncRNA from 1 species
CUCCAGGUGGCUCUUUAUGAGAGCAAUGCAGAAGUGAGGGCAGUAAACAACCUUACAAAGGGAAGCCUUCCGGUGCAGGUGAAAGCAAGAAAUACAGCUCCAUCGCAUCCAGCGAGUAUAUUAAAGGCAGUUUCAUCUGUUACCAGAGCUCUAGAACUAUUUGUGAAACCUGAAGAGCCGGAUGGAGAGAAUUGCUAUAAAUGUAGCGACAUUGUCUGCACCAUGGCUUGUCAAACUUCCUAGGUGUGUAGCUGCAUGCUGAAAUAUUCAUAUUGGCAGAAGUGAAAAGACAUGCCCAGUAAGUAGUGGUGAGCUGAAGCAAGGAGCUAUGGAGAAUGAUUUGGAGUGGAAGGCAGCAGCAGGUUCCUGAAGGUCCUAG